rnacentral:lncRNA from 1 species
CGUUAAAACACUCAUAACCCAAUCAUUUCACCUCUAAACUUCUUUUCAUUGUCUCAUACUUGGGCUUCUGGGAAACACUUAAUAUCUAAACCGUAACACUUUUUUCUAUCAUGCUGGGGAUCAAACCUAGGGCCUUAUGCAUGCUAGGCAAGCACUCUACCACUGAGCUACAUCCCCAGCCCACUACACUGUUCUUAAACUGUUAAGAUUUUCAUAUAAUCCUCUGUAAGCAGAGUUGUCUCUGGGAAGCCAUCCCACCAGGAAUUCCAGCACUUCAAGAGACUAAGGCCAGCUCUAUUGCUUGACUACUUGUUACAACUCCAGAAUGUUCAUCAGAUAGCAUAUGUUAAAAUAGGCACAAUAAUUGGGUGUGGUGGCACACACCUAGAGUCCCAGUGACUUGGGAGGCCAAGACAGAAAGUUUGCAAGUUUAAGACCAGCCUGGGCAACUUACUGAGACCCUGUCUCAAAAUGAAAAGAUCUGGGGAUGUAGCUUAGUGGUAGAGCAGCCAGCCCUGGGUUCAAUCCCCACAAAAGAAAGAAAAAAAAAAAAAAGAGGAAAGCAAUUCACACUGAUUAUAAGCCUGAAUCAUGUAGGGCACUGAUGAGAUGAAUAAGAGUGCAUGCUCUCAAAGAUCUUUGGUCAGUAGGAAAAACAGUGAUGGUAGCAUCAUGUGGUCAGUGGUUCUAUAGAGAUUUGUGGUCUUGGAGAGGACAACAGAAGCAAUGAAUCCUCACCUAGAUUCAGCGUGUCAGGAAGCCUUUAGAGGAGUGUCUUUGGGUAAGCCCUGGAGGACAAGUAGGCACACCAGGAAGAACAGGAUUCCAGCUGUAAUCACGCACUGUGUGACUGAGCGCAGGCGAGGGCAAGCAGCAUAGGGACCAGAUCAAGGAAAGCCUUAGUCUAGGGACAAUUGAGGGGAUUUACUCAGUGGCAAGAGAGCCGGUUUGCAUUUUAGAAAGACCACAAGAAAGAGAUGUGUUGUUUCCUGAGGGGGGAAGAAGAGAGGAGAGGAGAGAAGGAAUUGCCAGGCAGGGUGCUGGAAGGAGGGUCCUGUGCUGUUAACUGUGGUGGUGAUAUCAGGUGCAGGAGGACAGAGUGGGUAGUAGGGGAGCCGGGAGCUGGGAAGGAGAGCCAGGGAUCUAGAUUAAAAGGAAACAAUUCUAUUAGUUGUCAAAAACAAGAGACCACAGUGAAGGGAAUAAGGAAAACUCAGGAGUCAAGUGUUAAAAAAAAAAAUGCUGAACGUGGACUUUGGAGUUGAUCAGCCCCUGCUCUGUGAUUUUCCAGUCUGCUUUGAUCUUGAACAGUUCACUUCACUUCUCUGGGCUUUAAUUUGUUCAUCUGGAUGCAAGGACUAAAUGAGAUGCGCGUGUGCACACAUAGACACAGACAUACACGUGCUAAGCAGGGUGCCUGGCACUUGGUAAGCCUCCACUCUAUGGGCAGAACAGGAUGCAAGGGUGAUGGAAUUCAGGAAGUAAGCCCUGAGCACCUAUGAAGAGGAGUGGUCAGCUGUUUUGAACUUGUAGUCUACAAGCUUCACCUUGCAGAACUUGCUCCUCCCUGCUGUCUACUCCGUAGUAGUCAAAGCCCAGCCACCAGCCCAGGAGGAAGGGCUCCAGCUAAUACUGAAUGCAGCCCCCAAGUGACUGGGAGUGCACAGGUACUCAUGCAUGGCUGGCAACACUUCUGAGCAGCUCUGCAGGCACCCUCAUCUUCAUGUGGGGUUGAGGGUGCCCCUCCAGGGAAAUUUAAUUAUGUUUGAGACUUCUUUUCCUGAAUAGGCUUAGAAAAUCAGCUCAUUUCUGGACAAAUCUUGUGAACAAGCAAAAAUUCUACUACAGAAGAUGAUUCAGCAUCAGGACUUAAAUGACCUGCCAGGAAAUGGUUAAUGCAUGCUCACUGAAGCCCAGGGAUUUAGAUGGUUGGCAGUGGAGUAAGGCUUCAGGCAAGACCUCCAAAGCUACAGCUGUACUUCCCCAGGCCUUCACUGGCUAGAGUAAUUAACCACCUUUCCAUCAUGGUGUCUCUUUAGUUUGAGAAAGGGGAUUAAAGUGAAUGAAAACCAAGAGCCGGAGAAAUCAGGGUAGUAGCAAGAGGGAACAGUAAAGAAACGGUUCAGUGAGCAGAAGAGGCGUGGAGGGGGUAAGAAAUGGCAGAGGCAGGGCAGAGAGUCCAGGCCAUGAGAGCAGAGAAGGAGUCAGCUUGGGCACAGGCAUUCUGGGGAGACAGAGGGCUAGAAGGAGUCCCCAGUUCAGAGGGAGGGUGAGGCAAGACUUGGCUCAACUGCAUUGGCACCUGCUCUAGUUUAUGGAAGUGCUGUCCAAAAUGGUAGCCACUUGGCACUUGAAAUGAGUCUAGUGUGGCUGGGAAAUGAAUGUGCAAUUUUAAUUUCAAUUAAAUUUAAAUACUCAUACUCUGCUUAUGGCAACUCUACUGGGUAGCACCAUCUAGAUGAGGAAGAAAGCACAGAGUCACAGCUAGGGAAGAGGUCUAGAGCAGCCCAGCUGGUGGAAAUAAAGUUUAUCCACAUAUUUAAUUUUAAAUGUUUUGGUUACAACAUUAAAAAAGGAGUAAGGGAUGCCAUGCACAGUGGAGCACACCUAUAUUCCCAGUGGCCCAGGAGGCCGAGACAGGA